rnacentral:lncRNA from 1 species
AGGUAUGGUUUCCACCCACGAGGAGAACUGUAGAAUUUUGCGAACCUAACCAGACCCUUCUCGGUGCACGUCUUAGCAUCAGCAUAACCCACUUCAGAUCCAUAUUUACCAUUCGGAUUCCUCGAUUAUCUACCUACAUAACUAUAGGGUACGAUCUCUCUUUCUCAGCAAAGUUGAUGAAUUGGGUUUUUUCUGUUCUGAGCUAAUUUGGGGAUUAGGGUUUCGGGAAUCUGGAGGAGAGGUUGGGAGAGAAGGCACGAGAGAGGGAUCUGUGAUUUGAGAAAGCAGAAGUGAAGUAAUAAAGUGCCAACUGUGAAGGGACGAGGAAGAGAG